rnacentral:sRNA from 2 species
CAAGUUCUGAUAAAAGAGGAAUGUGCAUAGCCACAAUCGCUCCAGUAUUUCCUGAUAGGAGACUGUAUCUCCUGCUUUCCCCUAACAAAAGAAAGGGGGAGGGUCUCGUAUAAUAAUAAGUGUGGGCUAUUGGGUGGUUAAUCUGCUCAAAAUAUCCACAUGGGCGUGUCAUCAUGGAUUAUUUUACUGUGAAAUCCAUAGCCCUCUCCAUGCAGAUCCCCAUAUCGCUCCAGUUAACGCCCUGGUCUUGAUUUUCCGUCAUAAAUGGUGACCUCCCCAUCCUCCUCUCACGUUGAUAUAAUUUCUAUCUCGUUUCAUAUCAAAAGUGUUGAGCUGAAUUCAAAAAUUUAGGAUGUUGGGGUGUCACCUUCUAAUACCUCUAAUCUCUCUUCUCGUGGGCGGCUUCUCAACUCUCUUAGACGCCGCGCCACCAGAUUACUACAUCGCGGGGGUUGACCAGACACCCAAUGCAAUACAUGUCUUUCCGCGGAACAAACCGUGGACUCACUCCAACAUCCAUCCACUGGAGCUUCACAGCCGGCAAACGCAGC